UAAUUUAGAUUUGGACUUCAUAUUGUAUCAACUUAAUUAGGGAACAUCUAUUCCAUUUGAAUUUCAUCUUGUAGUAACUUCCUAGAGAACUUAUAUUCUACAAUUUUGGUUUAUCGAAUUACUUAAUGAAUUUCUUAGAUCUCACUGUUUAUGGAGUGCAGGGAAAUGACUCAUCAUGCCUACGAGUAUUCCUUUUGCCAAUUUUAUGUCAAGUCUCUCCAUCUGGAUAUGCUGGUUUGCAAGAAUAAGUUGUUAGGAUGCAUCAAUCGGGCAUAGACUCAUCUAUGGAUUUAAUUAGGUUGGAUUUGGAUCAACUACAUAGCAUAUUCAUCUGAAGCGCGUCUAGGCUUGCUUAUCAAAUUCUGUUCACGAAGUAUGUCCCCUUGCUGCUCAACUAGCAGGUUGCACUAUGGAUUUAAUCAUUCUUCUAUAUGACUUUUGUAAAUGUAUAUUAAUAAUGGAUGUGGUUGUUAUUCCUACUUAUGUUGUUGUGGUUGUUAUCAAAUAUCUAUGUUAAGUGCUUAGGUAUAUAUUCAAGCACAU